CAAGGCGGUGGAGCAUGUUGGUUUAAUUCGAAGCAACGCGAAGUAACCUUACCAGGUUCUUGACAUCCCGAUGCUAUUUCUAGAGAUAGAAAGUUACUUCGGUACAUCGGUGACAGGUGGUGCAUGGUUGUCGUCAGCUCGUGUCGUGAGAUGUUGGGUUAAGUCCCGCAACGAGCGCAACCCCUAUUGUUAGUUGCCAUCAUUCAGUUGGGCACUCUAGCGAGACUGCCGGUAAUAAACCGGAGGAAGGUGGGGAUGACGUCAAAUCAUCAUGCCCCUUAUGACCUGGGCUACACACGUGCUACAAUGGUUGGUACAACGAGUUGCGAGUCGGUGACGGCGAGCUAAUCUCUUAAAGCCAAUCUCAGUUCGGAUUGUAGGCUGCAACUCGCCUACAUGAAGUCGGAAUCGCUAGUAAUCGCGGAUCAGCACGCCGCGGUGAAUACGUUCCCGGGCCUU
rnacentral:rRNA from 1 species